UCAGCAAGCCACAACAGUUAAAAACAAG
rnacentral:piRNA from 1 species